rnacentral:rRNA from 1 species
UACGGGGGGGGCAAGCGUUGUUCGGAAUUACUGGGCGUAAAGGGCGCGUAGGUGGCCUUCUAAGUCAGACGUGAAAUCCCCAGGCUUAACCUGGGAACUGCAUCUGAUACUGGAGGGCUUGAGUUCGGGAGAGGGAUGUGGAAUUCCAGGUGUAGCGGUGAAAUGCGUAGAUAUCUGGAGGAACACCGGUGGCGAAGGCGGCAUCCUGGACCGAAACUGACACUGAGGCGCGAAAGCUAGGGGAGCAAACGGG